rnacentral:misc_RNA from 1 species
UAACAAGGUCUCCGUUGGUGAACCAGCGGAGGGAUCAUUACCAGAGUGCCCUAGGCUCUCCAACCCAUUGUGAACUUACCAAACGUUCCCUCGGCGGGCUCAGCGCGCGGUGGCCUCCGGGCCUCCGGGCGUCCGCCGGGGAAAACCAAACCCUGAUUUAAUCGUAUUUCUCUGAGGGGCGAAAGCCCGAAAACAAAAUGAAUCAAAACUUUCAACAACGGAUCUCUUGGCUCUGGCAUCGAUGAAGAACGCAGCGAAAUGCGAUAAGUAAUGUGAAUUGCAGAAUUCAGUGAAUCAUCGAAUCUUUGAACGCACAUUGCGCCCGCCGGCACUCCGGCGGGCAUGCCUGUCCGAGCGUCAUUUCAACCCUCAGGCCCACCCUUCCGGGGGAGCGGGCCUGGUUCUGGGGAUCGGCGGCCCUCGCGGCCCCCGUCCCUCAAAUUCAGUGGCGGUCGCGCCGCAGCCUCCCCUGCGUAGUAGCACAACCUCGCACCGGAGAGCGGAACGACCACGCCGUAAAACACCCAAUUUUUUAAGGU